GAUGAAGAACGUAGCGAAAUGCGAUACGUAAUGUGAAUUGCAGAUUUCAGUGAAUCAUCGAAUCUUUGAACGCACAUUGCGCCCGCCAGUAUUCUGGCGGGCAUGCCUGUCCGAGCGUCAUUUCAACCCUCGAACCCCUCCGGGGGGUCGGCGUUGGGGAUCGGGAACCCCUAAGACGGGAUCCCGGCCCCGAAAUACAGUGGCGGUCUCGCCGCAGCCUCUCCUGCGCAGUAGUUUGCACAACUCGCACCGGGAGCGCGGCGCGUCCACGUCCGUAAAACACCCAACUUCUGAAAUGUUGACCUCGGAUCAGGUAGGAAUACCCGCUGAACUUAAGCAUAUCAAUAAGCGGAGGA
rnacentral:misc_RNA from 1 species